CGCUUCGGAGGCUUAGUGGUUAGAGCAUCCACAUCGGAUGCGGGAGGUCGCUGGUUCGAACCCAGGCUGAGUGA